rnacentral:rRNA from 1 species
GACGAACGCUGGCGGCGUGCUUAACACAUGCAAGUCGAGCGAGACCCCUUCUUCGGGAGGGUGUUCUAGCGGCGAACGGGUGAGUAACACGUGGGCAACCUGCCCUCAGCUCUGGGAUAACUCCAAGAAAUUGGGGCUAAUACCGGAUAUGACUGCUGACCGCAUGGUCUGGUGGUGGAAAGAUUUAUCGGCUGGGGAUGGGCCCGCGGCCUAUCAGCUUGUUGGUGGGGGUAGGGCCUACCAAGGCGACGACGGGUAGCCGGCCUGAGAGGGUGACCGGCCACACUGGGACUGAGACACGGCCCAGACUCCUACGGGGAGGCAGCAGUGGGGAAUAUUGCGCAAGUGGGCGGAAGCCUGACGCAGCGACGCCGCGUGGGGAUGAC